AUUGAACGCUGGCGGCAUGCCUUACACAUGCAAGUCGAACGGCAGCACGGGAGCAAUCCUGGUGGCGAGUGGCGAACGGGUGAGUAAAGUAUCGGAACGUGCCCAGUCGUGGGGGGUAACGUAGCGAAAGUUACGCUAAUACCACAUACGAUCUAUGGAUGAAAGCGGGGGAUCGCAAGACCUCGCGCGAUUGGAGCGGCCGAUAUCAGAUUAGGUAGUUGGUGGGGUAAAGGAUCACCAAGCCGACGAUCUGUAGCUGGUCAGAGAGGACGACCAGCCAGACUGGGACUGAGACACGGCCAAGACUCCAACGGGAGGCAGCAGUGGGGAAUUUUGGACAAUGGGCGAAAGCCUGAUCCAGCCAUGCCGCGUGCAGGAUGAAGGCCUUCGGGUUGUAAACUGCUUUUGUACGGAACGAAAAGGUUUGGCCUAAUAAGCUGGGCUAAUGACGGUACCGUAAGAAUAAGCACCGGCUAACUACGUGCCAGCCGCCGCAGUAA
rnacentral:rRNA from 1 species